rnacentral:rRNA from 1 species
GACGAACGCUGGCGGCGUGCCUAAUACAUGCAAGUCGAGCGAAGUUUUUCUGGUGCUUGCACUAGAAAAACUUAGCGGCGAACGGGUGAGUAACACGUAAAGAACCUGCCUCAUAGACUGGGACAACUAUUGGAAACGAUAGCUAAUACCGGAUAACAGUAUUUCUCGCAUGAGAGAUAUUUAAAAGUUGGUUAUGCUAACACUAUGAGAUGGCUUUGCGGUGCAUUAGCUAGUUGGUGGGGUAAAGGCCCACCAAGGCGACGAUGCAUAGCCGACCUGAGAGGGUGAUCGGCCACACUGGUACUGAGACACGGCCCAGACUCCUACGGGAGGCAGCAGUAGGGAAUCUUCCGCAAUGGGCGAAAGCCUGACGGAGCAACGCCGCGUGAGUGAAGAAGGAUUUCGGUUCGUAAAGCUCUGUUGUUAGGGAAGAAUGGAUAUGUAGUAACUAUACAUGUAAGAGACGGUACCUAACCAGAAAGCCACGGCUAACUACGUG